rnacentral:tRNA from 1 species
GGCGGUAUAGUUCAACAGGUAGAACGUCGGAUUCAUAAGCCGAUCGUUGUGGGUUCAAGUCCCUCUACCGUCA